UUUCGGUUUGGAUCGCUUGCUUCGAACGUUGGCAAUCGUAGUCUUCCAAUAAUGGAAACAGUAGAACGGCCUCUGCAGAGUUAGUGGGUGCGCAGGGCUAUUGAAUCGUGCAAUAGGAAAGUAAUUUAAACUUUUUUAUGUCUUUCAUAGAUAGUCUUCUGGAUUAAGUUGAUGCAUCCCACGUUUUAAGAAGGAAACAUGCAGAAGCUUAAUGGUUUGUAGAUUAAUCAAACAACAAUGUCUGAAGAAAUUAGAAAAAGGCUUGAUUUUCCUAACACACUUAUACAGUCACAGGCUGUGGGCCAUCUUACUGCUGCAGUGCUAAAAGAAAAUGUUUUAUCUAACAAGAUCAGCCAGUCCAGUAACCAGG